rnacentral:lncRNA from 9 species
CCGGGGAGUUCCCGUCGUGGCUCAGUGGUUAACAAAUCUGACUAGGAACCAUGAGGUUGUGGGUUCAUUCCCUGGCCUUGCUCAGUGGGUUAAGGAUCUGGCGUUGCCGUGAGCUGUGGUUGUAGGUUGCAGACUUGGCUCGCAUCCUGCAUUGCUGUGGCUCUGGCAUAGGCCUGUGGCUACAGCUACGAUUAGACCCCUAGCCUGGGAAACUCCAUAUGCCGCACACGCGGCCCUAGAAAAAGACAAAAAAAAAAAAAAAAAAAAGAAAAAGAAAGAAAGAAAGAAAAUGCAAAUUACCGAGGAGGGAGGGGGGAGCAGUGGAGUGUGAAUGGAUUUAUCAGAUUUCCUUUCUCCUGUGACCCAGAUAUGGGGGCGGGCCAGGCACCCAGUCCAGGCAACUCCUCUGGCUCAGAAUCUGUCCUUGUUGCAAGCACUCCCAACCUGCCAUGCGCUGGCACAGAGCUGAGAGCCCCGAGCGGUUCAAAGAUGAACCAGAGCAUCUUCUUCAGGGGGCCAGGGUUUCAUCCUGGCCUCACAUUCUGGAAGCUCUCAAAUGUCAACAGAUUCAACCCUCCUUGCCUUAUAUUUUAGGGCUGGUGAUUGUGGAAGCCGGAGCUGUUAGAAAGAGCACUGUGGCUACAGCAUGAGAUCAACUCUUGUGCCAUCAUCAUUCUGCGACAUACCGAUGACCCCACCCAAGCGCCUCCAGGCUCCAGCCUUGAUGCUCAACUCUUGCCAGCCUCCUCCAGCUGGCCACCCAGUGGCUUCCCAGCUUCUGAGUGUCCAGAAACGGGUUUGGCAUCUCCCCUUUAUCCCCAUAGCCUGCGCCCCUGUGACAGCGUCUGUCUCAGAGCCUCUCCCCUCGCAGGAUUCCGCAGACACACCAGAGCAGGUCCAUGCCACCUGAUCUUUGUACACGCUGGUCCCUCUGCCUGGAAUGCCCUACACCCCCUUGUCCAAUGAAAGUAUCUAUUUGUUCUUUGAAAUCUUUCAUGAGUUUGCACUUUCUUCCCUUACCCCUGUCCUCUGCAUCACUGUACACACACACACACCACACACACACACACACACAGAUGUAAUCACUCUUGCAUCUUCCAUGCUUUACACUGAUUUGUAGGGUGGGCUUCCAGUGUGAUCAUAGACUUACA